AUGCAGAACGAAGAAGGCCAAAUCACGGAGCUCUACAUUCCUAAAAAAUGUUCUGCUACAAACAGAUUGAUAACUGCCAAGGAUCACGCUUCGGUUCAGAUCAAUGUAGGUCAUUUAGAUGAGAGCGGUGUUUAUAAUGGUCACUUUUCUACUUUUGCUCUAUGUGGCUACGUUCGCGCACAGGUCUUGAAUGUCAUUGGUUUAUCAUAG